rnacentral:rRNA from 1 species
UACAGAGGGUGCGAGCGUUAAUCGGAAUUACUGGGCGUAAAGCGUGCGUAGGCGGUUAUCUAAGUCGGAUGUGAAAGCCCCGGGCUCAACCUGGGAAUUGCAUUCGAGACUGAAUAGCUAGGGUACGGUAGAGGGAAGUGGAAUUUCCGGUGUAGCGGUGAAAUGCGUAGAUAUCGGAAGGAACAUCAGUGGCGAAAGCGACUUCCUGGACCAGUACCGACGUUCAGGCACGAAAGCGUGGGGAGCAAACAGG